GACGAACCGUGCGAACGUUGUUCGGAAUCACUGGGCUUAAAGGGCGCGUAGGCGGGCUCGCCAGUCAGGGGUGAAAGGCCCACGGCUCAACCGUGGAAGUGCCUUUGAUACUGCGAGUCUCGAGGGAGGUAGGGGCGUGCGGAACUUCCGGUGGAGCGGUGAAAUGCGUAGAUAUCGGAAGGAACACCGGUGGCGAAAGCGGCGCGCUGGACCUCUACCUGACACUGAGGCGCGAAAGC
rnacentral:rRNA from 1 species